UUCGUAGGGUGCGAGCGUUGUCCGGAAUUAUUGGGCGUAAAGAGCUCGUAGGCGGUCUGUCGCGUCGAAUGUGAAAACCCGGGGCUCAACUCCGGGCUUGCAUUCGAUACGGGCAGGCUAGAGUUCGGUAGGGGAGUCUGGAAUUCCUGGUGUAGCGGUGAAAUGCGCAGAUAUCAGGAGGAACACCGGUGGCGAAGGCGGUUCUCUGGGAAUGUCCUGACGCUGAGGAGCGAAAGUGUGGGGAGCGAACAGG
rnacentral:rRNA from 1 species